CUCCUCCUCUCCUCUUCCAGCUCUGCUUGCACUGAUGCACCCGCCUGAUCCACAGACUGCUGCCGGCUCUCUGAAACAUGCAAAUCUCUCUCGAAUCGGAGAGCUUGGAUUUCCUAGAGUCAACAGGAAGUAAACAAACAAAACUGGAACCAGGAGAAGCAGCUCACCUGAAAACCCACAGUUAAUUUGUGCUCUCUGUGAGCUCGCUUUCCUGAACGUACGCUCCCGUUUGCAAGAGAGGAGUUGGGGAGGGAUCCCCCUGACUCCUUCUGGAACAACUCUGCAACUAGUUCUGACUGGGAAGGAUACGGACAGUUGUGAAGAGGCAGAGAAGUAAAGAGGCAACUGGAUCCAGAAAAGUCCACGAGCCGGGUCUCGAAGAUGGAACUCGGGUCGGAGCAGUGCCCAUGAGAGCGAGUGACUGGCCCGGUGCCCUUUGGUCUGUUAAAGAUUCAGCCAUCAUAUCCGUAAUAAGGUUACCGUAGUCAGCCGUAUCCGGUCCGUAUCCAGAUCAGAUGGUGAACCUGCACCCUAAGACGACCACAAUGGUCCUGAAUGUCAGCGGAGACCCCGUCUACUAGACAAUCCCCUGUGAAGACCUUGUCGGCACGACAGCCGUCUACACAGAUCCUCAGCAGAGACCACAAGAACCAGGCCCUAUGACCAGUUUCGGUUCCAUACUGGCUGAUGAAUCCCAUCUUCAAGCAAAAGGAAAUAUUUGAAUGCUACCGAUCCACUGUCUGAUUUCUGAUUUGUGAUGCAGCCUAAAUCCUAAUCACACCAUGUUCAUAAGUUGGCCAGAGGAGAACUGAGCCUGGUUUCUCCAUUCUGUCACUGGAUGGAGUUUACGUUCUUUGCCACUGUCGCCUCUGGCUUGCUUAGUUGGGGACACUUAAUAUUCAACAAUAUUAUUGAUCUGACUGGACUGACGCUGUUGUAUGAGAUCUGAACUGAGCUGGAUGAUGACAUCACUGUUGAACUUCUUCAUAGAUUAAAUGAACUAAUUUUUAAUAAUUGAUGAUGUUUAUAAUGGAACUGAAUCAAUACUGAACUGACUUCAGCUGAACAAUGACACUAUUUUAUUUUUAGAGCUGCUUUACGAAAUGAACUCUGUUUGCAAGACACGUCACAUUUAUUUAUAUAGCACUUUAUACAAUACAGAUUGCUUCAAAGCAGCUUUACAGUUACAACAGGAAAAUACUGCAUUUCGGCUGUGGUUCAACUGAAGUAGGUUCAGUGUUGAUUCAGUUCUGUUGUAAACAUCAUCAAUUAUUAAACUAAAUAAACUUUUUUAUUAGGCUUAACAUUCUAUUCAACUGUUUUGUGUGUCAACUCAACUCUGAUAAUAUUCAAAAUGUUUCUUCCCCUGGCCUUGAUUGUGCUCACCUGUUUCAUGUUAGAGCACUAUAAUUCUUGAGUGUAAAUAUCCCUGGCUGCAUCCAAAAUCACAUACUUCCCAACUUUAUAGUAGGCGAAAAACAGUAUGUGACAAAAGAAGUAUGUCCGAAUUUACAGUACUCAUUAAAUGGAACCCGGAUGACUUACUACUUCCGUCGAGAUUGUGAAGUGUGCAUAC